AUUGAACGCUGGCGGCAUGCUUUACACAUGCAAGUCGAACGGCAGCGCGGGCUUCGGCCUGGCGGCGAGUGGCGAACGGGUGAGUAAUACAUCGGAACGUGCCCAGUAGUGGGGGAUAGCUCGGCGAAAGCCGGAUUAAUACCGCAUACGACCUGAGGGUGAAAGCGGGGGAUCUUCGGACCUCGCGCUAUUGGAGCGGCCGAUGGCAGAUUAGCUAGUUGGUGGGGUAAAGGCCUACCAAGGCGACGAUCUGUAGCUGGUCUGAGAGGACGACCAGCCACACGGGGACUGAGACACGGCCCAGACUCCUACGGGAGGCAGCAGUGGGGAAUUUUGGACAAUGGGCGAAAGCCUGAUCCAGCAAUGCCGCGUGUGUGAUGAAGGCGUUCGGGUUGUAAAGCACUUUUGGCGGGAACGAAAAGGACUGUGCCAAUACCACGGUUCGAUGACGGUACCCGCAGAAUAAGCACCGGCUAACUACGUG
rnacentral:rRNA from 1 species